rnacentral:rRNA from 1 species
ACGAAGGGUGCAAGCGUUAUUCGGAAUCAUUGGGCGUAAAGCGCGCGCAGGCGGAUUUGUAAGUCAGGUGUGAAAUCUCGGAGCUCAACUCCGAAACUGCGCCUGAAACUACAAGUCUAGAAUGUCGGAGGGGGCAGGGGAAUUUCACGUGUAGGGGUAAAAUCCGUAGAGAUGUGAAGGAACACCGGAGGCGAAGGCGCCUGCCUGGACGACUAUUGACGCUGAGGCGCGAAAGCGUGGGGAGCAAACAGGA